rnacentral:rRNA from 1 species
UACGUAGGUGGCAAGCGUUGUCCGGAUUUAUUGGGUUUAAAGGGUGCGUAGGCGGUCCUAUAAGUCAGUGGUGAAAUACGGCAGCUUAACUGUCGAGGUGCCAUUGAUACUGGUGAACUUGAGUACUGAUGAGGUAGGCGGAAUGGACGGUGUAGCGGUGAAAUGCUUAGAGAUCGUCCAGAACACCGAUAGCGAAGGCAGCUUACUAAGGAGUAACUGACGCUGAGGCACGAAAGUGUGGGGAUCAAACAGG